GAUUAUCUCCAACUGAACCUGUGUCUGAGGGGGAAGAUUUUCUAAUGGCUGGUGUUGAGGCCUUAGCUGAUGACCUAGAUUUGGAUCCUUUUGAAGAAAGGUAAAUAUGUUCAUGAGAAGUCUUGCCAUAUAUGCAGGAAAUUACUGCUGUAAUAUGUGUAAAAAAGAUAAAAACACAAUAGAUAAGCAAAUAUAGGUCAUUAUAUAUAUUUAUUUAUGUUGUGAAGUGUCAAUUCACAGCAGAUUGUUGUUAUUUGCAGAAAUAAUUAAUGACAGAUGUAUUAGGCUCCACAUUUAUCUCUUUAGAAUCAGUACCAUUUCAGGUAAGUUCCAGUAUUUAUCUUUACGUACAACAAAUAUUAUUGUGUUGUCUGUAGUUUCAAAUCCAUGGAUCUAGCUACGGAUGCAGUCCAAAUUGAUGAGGACCAAGCAAACAACUUAAUCAACAGUGUGUGAGUUGCAAUGUCUUCUUAUCUAGGGGUGGGCAAUAUAAACGAUAUAAGGUAGAAAUUAUAUAAAAUUGAGUAAUUUUACGGCCCCCAGCUCGUCUAGGAGAUGAUGUUAAAGGGGGCGUAAAGAAAGAUAUGUGAAUUACCAGACAAAACCAAGAUUUACUCUCUUAGAGGAGUUUAUUAACUAAAAAACACUGCUUUAUGCAGGCUAAGACAAAAUGAAUACAAAACCAAAAGGACGUCCCACUGGGGAAUUAACAAUACUAAACAGAAGGAUCAUCCAAUACAGGGUAAAUAACAAUACUAUUAAUAAACACAAAACGCCGGUACUAAUCCGGGAAAGUAAAGGAAUGAGACAAACACAAAAGGCUACACCAAAAGGGUGAGCUGAACUCUUUAACGAGUAUUCUAAUGGAGACAAAAACGAGCUCUGGCUACUAGGAAGUGUACCACACAGGUAAUCAAAACGAAGACUUUAACGUCUGGUUUUCUAGGAGGGAAAAAGAGGAACACUCGCUUUAACAACAGGCCUCUGCUAAGCUUCCCUCCUCGAAUGACAGAGGGAGCUGCCUUUUAUAGGAAGCUCCCUGACUGAGAAGAUUAGCGACACCUGGCUCUCCAGGUGAACAGGUAGGAGCUCUGAGGCCACCUUGUGGCCACAAAACAGACAACGUCUGUAACAGGUAAUGAUAGUUUUUGGCUAUAUCGCAAUACGGCGAUAUUGUGAUAACACAUGACGUCACUAAGAUGUGCACCCUGCUGACAAUGGGACAACAGAAUGGCGGUGACUGCAAGCAUGGAGUGGGCGGAGGAGGAGGCCUAUAUGCCUCAAGUGGCAUAUAUUUGCCACAUGAGGAUAUCUAAAAGCAUGUCAAUUUGACAUCUAUAAACAGAUGAAAAAAUAUAUCGCAAUAUAUAUCGUUACUGCACAUGCUUCAGAUUAUAUCGCAAUAUAGAUUUGAGGCCAUAUUUCCCAGCCCUAUUCUUAUCUACACUCUUUUUUUAAACUCCAAAGUCUUAAAACAAUAUAUUAAUUCUACUUUUAUUUAUUGUUUUCAUAACAGAAUAGAACUGUUAUGAAAACUUUGUCAGGCUGACGAAGUUUGCAGCCGCAAACAAAACGUUGCAGGUAAAUAAAACCCUUCUAUGUUUUAAAAAGAACUAAAAGAUGGAAUUGUUGUUUUAUCCUUGUUCACAGGCUGGGAUCCUAAAGGGAAUUUCCAUCCUACUUGUGUGGCUGAAUGACAUCUUCAACCAAUUUUGGUACAUUUGUCAGAAAGCACAACAUCGUGAUAUGUUUAAUGACAUGUGGGUGGGUGUGCUUCACCAUGUCACAGGGAAGCAUGAAUGGACCCGUGGCAAAUGUGACCAUGGACCACUUGAUGCAACGUGGCAUGGUGCCAGGAUCUCCACCACACGAGGCUCUUCAACGAAUCAUGUUCAACAGACACUGGUUGAAGGAUGCCACUAAUCUGACCUUUAGGUAUAUUAAUAACAUUUUCAUAAGCAAAAAAGCUAAAGUGUCAAUAUCAAAGCUGAAAAUUUACAUAUAGAAAUGACAAUUGUGGGUGAAAAGGCAAUCAAAAGUGUGAUUCCUAAUAAUCUAUAAAGUUGUAGCUUUUGUUUUUUUACAGGUCAACUUCAGAACUCGAGAGUUUCCAGAAUUGCAUUCUCAUGUAAUCUAUUGGGCCAUUCCCAUCUGUACCGGGUCGGCCCGGGCCGGGUAGCCCCAGUCGGCCCCAGCCUGGCCCGGUUGAUUCCACACAUCCUUGCCUUAAGUCCAUGUGGGCUGAUUCUACCCACCAAUCAGAGGCUUGCUCUAAUGGAAGGUGUGAAUUUGCUGUCAGCAGUGGGUGUGUUGGCCCUGGUCGGCCUGAAGCAGACCCCCUCGAGAAGAGGGCUGAGAAUGAGCCUUGGUUGGCCCGGAAAACCACCAGGCCACCCAGAUAUGUAAACAACCUACGCUACCCGGCCCGGGCCGACCCGGUACAGAUGGGAAUGGCCCAUAUGUAUGAUCUAAUGCUGCUGUUCUCCUCUCCAUAAAGGCCCCAGCUACGUGAAGCAUCAAAAGACAGGAAUGACUUCUUUCAUGCACACAGAUUUAUUAGAAAUUAAGAAAAAAUACUAUGUACAAAUGCAAAUAACAGAACUGUUUUUUGUACAUAAAUAAAAAUAAAUAAAUUGCACAAACUGUUUGUUUAUUUUUGGGUGAAAAUGCUGUCUUCAGCUAAAGUUAUUUUGAGGUAUUGUGCUGUUUUGGAACUACUGUAGUUGUAGAUAAACGGUUUGGAUUUUUGGGUUAGGGUGCCCUCAGUCAGGAAGAUGGUGUCCUGGCGUCUCUUGCCGAAACUCCAGGAUAUCCAGCAUCACCCCUGGAAGACGGGUCACCACUCUCUCGAGAAUAUAAUCUCUCUCCUCCUGGCUCAGGUGUUGUAAAGCUGUCUAGAAAUUAAAGAGCAUAUGUUUACAUGACUAGAUUCAUAUCUCCAGUGAGUGAUGUUUUCGUUUUUGGCAUCUAUUAUUUUAUUUUAUUUU